CCAAAAUCACUCAACUCUAAUUAUGAGGAUUUAGUUAAUCACUAUUUACUUAUUUUGGAAUGAUUAAUUAAAUACUAAAUAAGGGUUUAUUAACAUUUUAACCAAACCUUAUCCAAAUGCCACCAAAUUUUAGGUGGAGCCAGGGAAUAAUAUUCAGAGGCUCCCCACAAUUUUUGGUGAUUUUUGGACAUACAAUUAAAUUAUUAAAAUUCAUACAAGUUUUAUUUGCUAAUUAAAAGGGCAAAUUUUUACAGACAUGUAAACUACCAGAAAACAGAACUUAAUAUUUUUCUUGGGUUCUACUCACUUCAGAGAGCUUACACAAAAAUUUCCACA
rnacentral:lncRNA from 1 species